UGGAAACAUUCAAUUCCCUGCUGACUGCUGGGUGGAGGCUGCCCUUGAGUCCUUGACACAUGAAUGUCGCCAAGAUGACCAGCUUCAUCAAAGCCAUCAAGGGGGUGAAUCUGCUGGCAAAUGCACAUCAUUGUCGUCUGUAAUGUAGUCGUACCCAAUCUCUUGGCCAUGUGCUGUUGGUGAGAAGUAAAUCCCAGGUCCUACUCGUACUCAACAAGGAAAGUAUUUACCAGGACAUGAGUGCCACCGGGGACCUUCUUGAAGCCUGUUCACCACACUCCUCGGCUCCUUCAUUUGGCCUCCAAAUUGAAUAAGUACAUUGUGGGAGGAUUGUUUCCUGCCAAGACUGGGUUUUGUUUUAAUUCUAACAUCGGGGUCCCUGCAGGAAUCGGGGCACACUUGUUUAGUUAAUUGGAGCACAAAGUGACAAGUGUUGGAGAGAAGUGCUCUUAGAGGUUUGGUUUAUAAAUGCGCUCAGCUACUCGGGAGGCUGAGGCUGGAGGACAGCGAUUCAAGGCCAGCCUCAGCAACUUGGACCCUACCUCCAAAAUGUCAGUCAAGGCACAGGUAACCCUGCCAUCUACUUAGUGUACAGUGAUUCUCAGUCCUGGGUGUUCAACAAGAAUGUCUUUAUAUUUGCAGUGGAUGAUUCUUUUUUUUUCCUAAAUUAAAGCCAAAUUUUUAUUUCAAAUCUUCCUUUUAUGGAUUCCCCAGUUCUUGGGAACAACAAACUAGGAACAAAAUAGUCCAAGUUCGUUCAUUCAAUGAACAUUCUACCAUCUUGUUAUGGUGGGUACCCAGGUGCAUGCUGGGGACACUUGGAGAUGACAAUCACUGGUUCCUCUGAGUCUGAAUCUGAACCUCAGCUGCUCCCUUCCCACCUCCUGGGCCCCUAUGGUCCUAUUCCUUUC
rnacentral:lncRNA from 1 species